ensembl:snoRNA SNORD21 Small nucleolar RNA SNORD21
GCUGCUUGAUGAUGACACCUUGCAAAUUGUAGUUGGUCCUUCAUUUGCACAGUUGAUGCAAACUUUUUUCAAGACGGGUCUUAGAGCAGC